CCCCAGCGCCACAAGUGGUUAUCACGAUUAUUGGGCCUAAAGCGUUCGUAGCCGGUUUGGUAAAUCUCUUGUGAAAUUGUUCGGCUUAACCGGACAGCGUGCAGGAGACACUGCCAAACUCGAGACCGGGAGGCGUGUGAAGUAUGCCGUGGGGACUGGUAAAAUGGGAUAAUCCACGAUAGACUACCGAUGGCGAAGGCAUCACACGAGAACGGAUCUGACGGUGAGGAACGAAAGCUAGGGGAGCGAACCGG
rnacentral:rRNA from 1 species